AUAAGAGAAGAGCAAUUAUACGGUCAUUGAGGAGGUACCAUGAGGUACCAAAAAUUUAGUGUAAAAUUUGGUACCUCAUAGUAACUAGGUACCAAGAGGUACCAAAUUUAUAAUAGAAAAAAGUGGUACCUCAUGGUACCUUCUCAAGGACCAUAAAAUUGCUCAUAAGA
rnacentral:misc_RNA from 1 species